rnacentral:rRNA from 1 species
AACGUAGGAGACAAACGUUAUCCGGAGUUACUGGGCGUAAAGCGGCGUGUAGGCGGCUAAGUAAGUCGGGCGUGAAAUCCCACGGCUCAACCCGUGGAAGUGCACUCGAAACUGCAUAGCUAGAGUCCUGGAGAGGAAGGUGGAAUGCUUGGUGUAGAGGUGAAAUUCGUAGAUAUCAAGCGGAACACCAGAGGCGAAGGCGGCUUCCUGGACAAUUGCUGACGCUCAGGCACGAAAGCGUGGGGAGCAAAAGGG